rnacentral:lncRNA from 1 species
UCUCUUCUGAUCAGGCUCUCUCUUACCUCAAUUAAGAAGUUAUCCUCAAUGCACUCCAUGAGUCUCCAGGACAAGUUACAGCUUGCUGUGCCUCUUUUCCAGAAAAUAUCCAAGUGAUUGAGUCCCCUACUAGGAUGGGAGCCCAUGAGCAUUUCUUCUUGUAGCUGGAACAGGAAGGCUUCAUCAACAGGUUCCUCUUGAUUGGGCAGCCUGUGCUAAACACCAAUCACAACUUCUGCUACUGUCUAAGAGAUUUCUACAAAGAAAAAUUUUCAAGAUGAUGAUGAAAGAUGAGGAAAUAGGAUGUCUGGGAAGUCAAGGUUCUCUGCUACAAGCUGCACAACAACUGUUUUGCAACCACUAGUUCAGUCUUCAGGCCUGAUGAAGUGAACCUGAACUGUGCGACUGCGGAUAUGUGCCUUGCUCCUGCUGGAAGCAUCUGACAUGGAAAUGGCAGAGGCUGCUGCUUCCAUUUCACCAGAAGUGAGAGCUGAGAACAGUAAUUUGUGGAGGCUUUUUCCUCAUCCUUUUUAGUUAAAGAGUCUCACGAUUCUGUCACACUACCUGUCUGUGGGCUUAAUAAUGCAGCAAUGGUGCUGCUAAGCUGCCAGAUCUAGAACAGGUCUUGGAACAUCUCUUCAGCCCUCACACUGGGAAUCUGUACCACUGGUUAGUAUCUAUAUGGUGUAUUUGGAUCUUGUUCAUCUACUAUACACCACGUACAGGUACUAUGCAUAUACGAAGCAAUUCAGAACACAGCAGGGAAAAGAAACGCAACUACUAGACUAAAAUUGCUGAAGGAAGUAUUGGCUAUUUGUUCUACACCCUGCUGAAACCCCAAAAGUGUCACCAGUAUCUCCACUUCUGCAAGCUCAGCAGUACUCCUGUUUGGCACCAUCCUUUUGGCACCUGGUCAGCUUCCACAGAGCAGGGUUUGGAUAACAUGGAGGUCUCUCUGGAAAUCCCACUUUCCCUCAUUUAGGGCACUAUGAACUUGUAAAAAAGGUUUCAAAUUGAGAAGACAAAGAUAGUCAGCAUAGAGUUGCUGUUGUGAAUAAAGAAGAAUGAAGCAGGGAGUCCA